GCAGUCGACACGACAUCCAAUGCGGAGUACUGGAAGUUGAGAGUGACUGAAGAGGAUGGGUUCACGCGGGUCAGCACGAGGGAGGAAAAGAAGCAGGCCAAAC
rnacentral:SRP_RNA from 1 species